rnacentral:lncRNA from 1 species
CCUCUAUCGUGAGUCCCAAUCAGAUGACAGGUCAUAGAUAAAUCAUCAAACUUCAUCAUCGAUCAUAUGAUAGAUUCAAUCAAUUUGAGUCCAUACGUGACUCUUAUGGAAACUCUUUUCAAUCAAUCAUACUACUAUGGUCAUAGACUUAAAGACCUGCUUCUUAAAUCCCAUAGGAUUACUCCCUUCUACUAGGAUCAAUAGAUUUCAUCUUGAUACGUACCUUACUUCUACAGUGGAUUAACUAUUGCCAACAUCCACUACAAGGGCUCAUUGAGACUCAUGUCUAUGUGUCAAUCAAACUCCAGCAGCCUCACUGCGAGUAAUAGUACCAUCUCAGAUCAAAGAACCAGUCAUACAACUGCAACAUCAAAAAAGUCACUGACGAUUGAGCAGACAUCCAUGUGACUUCUCGUGUUGGUCAUGCUCAAUGCUAGUUAUUUUCUAACAAUCAUCUGUACUCUCACUCUAAUGUCACUACACUAUAGACACGAUACUCAUCUGUCCAAAGAAAGUGAUCCGUGCACUGGUCUAUCUGGAUCAAUCACCAUCCCCAUGAUAAUCUUAUGGCUAGGAGUAAUUUAGGAAUUAACUAUCAAUGACAUAUAUCUCAAAUUCUCAACUCUUUGAGAUUAUGUGUCAUCAUCUUGUUAAUCUCUUGGAUAAUUCAUAGAUACAUAAAAUAUAAAUAGUAAUAUAAAUAUCCAUAAAGUAUAAAAUUAUAUCUUAGAAAUAUGAUAUGCGUCAGCCAAGAUUGGCUUCUACGGCAUACAUCCAACAUCACUAUUGAAAAGCUUCUAC